rnacentral:tRNA from 1 species
GUCAGGAUGGCCGAGUGGUCUAAGGCGCCAGACUCAAGAUCUGGUCUCCGAAUAGAGGCCUGGGUUCGAACCCCACUCCUGACA